rnacentral:sRNA from 1 species
UCGCGAUCUCGGGCGAUCACCAGAACGC